rnacentral:rRNA from 1 species
ACUUAAGCAUAUCAAUAAGCGGAGGAAAAGAAACUAACAAGGAUUCCCCUAGUAACUGCGAGUGAAGCGGGAAAAGCUCAAAUUUUGAAUCUGGCGGUCUUUUGGCCGUCCGAGUUGUAAUCUAGAGAAGUGUUUUCCGCGCUGGACCGUGUAUAAGUUUCCUGGAAUGGAACGUCGUAGAGGGUGAGAAUCCCGUCUUUGACACGGACUACCAGGGCUAUGUGAUGCGCUCUCGACGAGUCGAGUUGUUUGGGAAUGCAGCUCAAAUAGGGUGGUAAAUUCCAUCUAAAGCUAAAUACAGGCGAGAGACCGAUAGCGAACAAGUACCGUGAGGGAAAGAUGAAAAGAACUUUGGAAAGAGAGUUAAACAGUACGUGAAAUUGCUGAAAGGGAAACGCUUGAUGUCAGUCGCGUCGGCCGGGGAUCAGCCUUGCUUUACCGCUCGGCGUACUUCCUGGUCGACGGGUCAGCAUCAGUUUUGACCGUCGGAAAAGGACUGGAGGAAUGUGGCACUCUUUCGGGAGUGUGUUAUAGACUCUGCUCGAAUACGAUGGUUGGGACUGAGGAACUCAGCACGACCUUAGGGUUCGGGGCUUCGGCCUACGUUCGCGUGCUUAGGAUGCUGGCAUAAUGGCCUUAAGCGACCCGUCUUGAAACACGGACCAAGGAGUCUAACGUGCAU